rnacentral:rRNA from 1 species
GGACUACUGGGGUAUCUAAUCCCGUUCGCUCCCCUAGCUUUCGCACCUCAGCGUCAGUCACCAGCCAGGACCCUGCCUUCGCCUUUGGUGUUCCUCCGGAUAUCUACGCAUUUCACCACUCCACCCGGAAUUCCAGGUCCCUCUCUGGCCCUCAAGUCCGGCCGUCUGUCGCACCCUCGGGCAGUUAAGCCACCCGCUGUCACGCGACACGCGCCGCACCGCCUGCGUGCCCUUUACGCCCAGUAACUCCGGACAACGCUCGCCCCCUACGUAUUACCGCGGCUGCUGGCAC